rnacentral:rRNA from 1 species
UACGGAGGGUGCGAGCGUUGUCCGGAAUCAUUGGGCGUAAAGGGCGCGUAGGUGGCGGCCUAAGCGUGCGGUGAAAGCUCGGGGCUCAACCCCGAGUCGGCCGUGCGAACUGAGUCGCUUGAGCACUGUAGAGGCAGGCGGAAUUCCGGGUGUAGCGGUGGAAUGCGUAGAGAUCCGGAAGAACACCGGUGGCGAAGGCGGCCUGCUGGGCAGUAGCUGACACUGAGGCGCGACAGCGUGGGGAGCAAACAGG